AGAGUUUGAUCAUGGCUCAGAACGAACGCUGGCGGCGUGGCUAAGACAUGCAAGUCAAACGGACCGUAUAAUUGGGUAACCGAGAGUGCGGUUAGUGGCGAAAGGGUGAGGAAUAGAUAGGUAACGUACCCCGAACUUCGGGAUAGCGUCGUCUGCCUUCGGGCAGACUUCCGAAAGGGGCAUUAAUACCGUAUAAUGUCCCCGGCUGCAGGGCCGGGGACCAAAGAUUUAUCGGUUUGGGAGCGGCCUAUCUCCUAUCAGCUAGUUGGUGAGGUAACGGCUCACCAAGGCAACGACGGGUAGCGGGACUGAGAGGUUGACCCGCCACAUCGGGACUGAGACACUGCCCGGACCUCCACGGAGGGCUGCAGUAACGAAUAUUGGGCAAUGGGCGAAAGCCUGACCCAGCAACGCCGCGUGCAGGAGGAAGCCCCUCGGGGUGUAAACUGCUGUCAGGGGCUAGAAAGUCUUCGGAUUGAUCAGCCCCGGAGGAAGUCACGGCUAACUUCGUGCCAGCAGCCGCGGUAAGACGAAGGUGGCGAGCGUUGUUCGAAAUCACUGGGCUUAAAGGGCGCGUAGGCGGACCCGAAAGUGUCGUGUGAAAUCCCCCGGCUUAACCGGGGAAUGGCAGGGCAAACUGCGGGUCUUGAGGCAAGCAGGGGCGCGUGGAACUCUUGGUGGAGCGGUGGAAUGCGUAGAUAUCAAGAGGAACGCCGAAGGUGAAGACAGCGCACUGGGCUUGCCCUGAGCUGAGNNGCGAAAGCGUGGGGAGCAAACAGGAUUAGAUACCCUAGUAGUCC
rnacentral:rRNA from 1 species